rnacentral:rRNA from 1 species
CCGCGGUAAUACGUAGGUGGCAAGCGUUGUCCGGAAUUAUUGGGCGUAAAGCGCGCGCAGGCGGUCCCUUAAGUCUGAUGUGAAAUCCCACGGCUCAACCGUGGAAGGUCAUUGGAAACUGGGGGACUUGAGUACAGAAGAGGAAAGCGGAAUUCCAAGUGUAGCGGUGAAAUGCGUAGAGAUUUGGAGGAACACCAGUGGCGAAGGCGGCUUUCUGGUCUGUAACUGACGCUGAGGCGCGAAAGCGUGGGGAGCAAACAG